rnacentral:rRNA from 1 species
UACGUAGGGGGCUAGCGUUGUCCGGAUUUAUUGGGCGUAAAGAGCGUGUAGGCGGCCAGGUAGGUCUGCUGUGAAAACUCGAGGCUCAACCUCGAGACGUCGGCGGAAACCAUCUGGCUAGAGUCCGGAAGAGGAGAGUGGAAUUCCUGGUGUAGCGGUGAAAUGCGCAGAUAUCAGGAAGAACACCAAUUGCGAAGGCAGCUCGCUGGGACGUAACUGACGCUGAGACGCGAAAGCGUGGGGAGCAAACAGG